CCUACGGGAGGCUGCAGUGGGGAAUAUUCGGCAAUGGGCGCAAGCCUGACCCAGCAACGCCGCGUGCAGGAAGAAGGCCUUCGGGUUGUAAACUUCUUUUCUCAGGGACGAAGCAAGUGACGGUACCUUAGUAAUAAGCUACGGCUAACUACGUGCCAGCAGCCGCGGUAAUACGUAGGUGGCAAGCGUUAUCCGGAUUUAAUGGGUGUAAAGGGCGUGUUGGCGGGACUGCAAGUCAGAUGUGAAAACCACGGGCUCAACCUGUGGCCUGCCUUUGAAACUAUAGUUCUUGAGUACUGGAGAGGCAGACGGAAUUCCAAGUGUAGCGGUGAAAUGCGUAGAUAUUAGGAGGAACACCAGUGGCGAAGGCGGUCUGCUGGACAGCAACUGACGCUGAGGCACGAAAGCGUGGGGAGCAAACAGGAUUAGAUACCCGAGUAGUC
rnacentral:rRNA from 1 species